rnacentral:rRNA from 1 species
UGGGGAAUAUUGGACAAUGGGGGCAACCCUGAUCCAGCGAUGCCGCGUGUGUGAAGAAGGCCUUAGGGUUGUAAAGCACUUUCAGUUGGGAGGAACAGCUUAUGGCUAAUACCCGUAAGCUUUGACGUUACCAACAGAAGAAGCACCGGCUAACUCUGUGCCAGCAGCCGCGGUAAUACAGAGGGUGCGAGCGUUAAUCGGAAUUAUUGGGCGUAAAGCGCACGUAGGUGGAUAAGUAAGUUGAAUGUGAAAGCCCUGGGCUUAACCUGGGAAUGGCAUUCAAGACUGCUUGUCUAGAGUAUGGGAGAGGGAAGUGGAAUUUCUGGUGUAGCGGUGAAAUGCGUAGAUAUCAGAAGGAACAUCAGUGGCGAAGGCGACUUCCUGGCCUAAUACUGACACUAAGGUGCGAAAGCGUGGGGAGCAAACAGG